ACUGAUUUGCAUUGGCACCUCCAACUCAGCCCAGCUUCUUGGAGUUUAUAAACCAGGCCUUGAUAGUGAGAACAAAGCAGACAGGCAGGGGGAGCAAGAUGGUGUCACAGACCAAGGUUCUCAUGUUCUUGAUGCUCUGGGUAUCUGGUGCCUGUGCAGAUGUCAGGAUGACCCAGUCUCCAACCUCUUUGGCUAUGUCAGCAGGAGACAAGGUCACCAUCAGUUGCAAGUCCAGUGAGAGUCUUUCAUUUAGUAGCUAUAACCUCUUGGCCUGGUACCAGCAGAAACCAGGACAGCCUCCUAAACUCCUGAUCUACUAUGCAUCUACUCGACACACUGGGGUCCCUGAUCGCUUCAUAGGCAGUGGAUCUGGGACAGAUUUCACUCUCACCAUCAGCAGUGUCCAGGCUGAAGACAUGGGGGAUUAUUACUGUAUGCAGUUUUAUGUUAAUCCUCCCACAGUGCUUCAGCCUCCAACAAAAACCUCCUCUCAGAGUCUCACCAGCUGCUUGUACCACACACAGGCCUGGACCUACGCACUUCCUCCUCCUGCCUGA